GAAUGUUCCAAUUCUUGUGGCUGUGAUCAUCAGUCGGUUCUACUUGAACGUAUGGUUUUCCCUUGGAUAUUCUCAACACGCUAGCGUUAUUUGAUGUUAUGAUCUCCCUGCUCUACACUGACUUGACGAACCCUUUAACUCCAGCUUCUGGUUUCUAGCAUUGGGUGUUUAGAGGCAUUAGUGUGGUCAUUAUUGAAGCACUUGAAUAUGUAAGAAUGUUGUGGUGGUGGUGAAUUGGUUAGUAUUUGGUUUAUUUCUUGCUAAUUUAUUAAAGAGAUUAAGUGAAAAACUUUCAAAAUUGUAGCUUGGGAGGGUUGAUAGUUGUAAUUUUGAAAUUGUUCAUGAAUUGUUCAUAUGGGAUUGUCCAUAGAGGUUGCAAGUAUAUUGACAACAUUGAAGAAAUUGUUUAUAUGAACUUUGUUAACAUGAGAUUGUAAGUAUAUGACAAUAUAUCCAAUGAGGCUUUGACUUUGGAGUUACCUAAAAGUAUUGUGGUGCUUGGAGGAUAGUGCA